rnacentral:lncRNA from 1 species
GUUAAAUGUGACGUCAUGGUAAUGGCGGUGAUUACGAAAAUACAGAUACAGCUACACAAAAAUAACACAUAUUGUUAAAAGUAAACGGCAAUUCCACUUUCAAUUCAUCAAGUAUGAAUAUUUAGCAACUAUGCACAAUGAAAAUCGUUUCACUAUUUUAUUUUACAUGUUUUACCCAUGUGUAAACACCGCACACCAGGCGUAGAACGGACUGGACGUCAAAUAUCGCGGGAUACCAAAACUUGGAAAAAGGUUACGGUGCUUGUGCCUGGACAUCACUUUUAUUUUACUGAGCAAGGAGCAUUUUGAAAAGAGUGGUGGUGUCAAACAUGAAUAUUGAUAGGCCUUCUAAUCUUUUCUAUAGCAUGUUUAGGGAUUCCAACCCAUUCAUCAUGCUCAUAAACUUAUAGAGCUUGAGUUGCUAGACUUUCCUUGCCAAUAUCAUACUUCAUUGCUUAAUUAUACCUUACAGAAGUCAGAAUACAGUCCAAUAUAUUCAUUGAACUUAAUUAUUUGUACUUUCAUUUUUAAACCUAAACCCCCCAUACAAGUUAUCGCUAUUUGUCCGUCAUUACUGGACAUCACACAGGUUCCCGUAAAAUUUUGACGUCAUAAUACAAAAUAUCUGACGCCACAAUGGAAAAGUGAUUGUUGUAUGACGUCUGAGACUACAAUAACAGUUAUAGUAGUCUCAGAUGACGUCGAUAGUUCAAGCAGGACAGAUUCUCAGGUCAGCCAGGAAUAGCGAUAAGGUGUAUUUAUACCCUUAAACUAGCCCCAAUCCUCAAUUUAAACAUCUUUGUUAAUCAACACGAAAGAGUAAAGUAAAUUUUAAAGUUAUCAUAAGCCCUAUAUUGAAUAUUAAACUCUUUGUACAUAAUUUUUUAACAAAUAAAUUCGUUCAUCUGCACUACCAAAUAUUUGAUCAAACUUCAGUAUAGCACUAGCACCGGAUUUACUUUGACGAUUAAUUUUUGUAAAUAGGCUGCAUGCAUUAUUAUGAGCAUGCAACAGUAAAUAUAACUUUUGGCCCGCUAGAUGGUUUAUUAUGCAUGUACAGUAUAAUUCAAAGAAGAAGACCCCUACAGCCCUAGGCCUUUUCGAACAGGAUGAAAAAACAUUUCCUGCAUUUUUGUUUUAGUUGUAAUCUCUGUCCUUUUUUCAGGAGUUUUUAUGAUCAUUGGAAAAGCUAUUAUAUGGAAAACUGCACUGUAAAAGAUUUCUUGUAGGAUAUUUAUGAAAGAGUUAAAAUUAACAAAAAAAAUUAUAUUGAAUUUUUUUCUCUCUGACAAAAUAAAUACUGGUAUUAUUAGCAUUGACUGGGGACAUUAAACUUCUUUUUUAUCAGCUCUGGGUCUGUAGCCCUAGUCCUUGUAUCCUGACAAUCCAAUUGAUGUUUAUAUUAUAAUAAUAGGAAUGCAUAGAUAUGUUCCAAAUUAUUACUUUUGAGUAGGUUAAGUAUUUUGAGUUGUUUUGAAUGGUCACUUCUUCACACUUUUGAAGCCAAAGAAAUGUCUGACCAGUUCACAAUUAUUGACCUUUAAAUACUUCAAAAUGAUGACAUACUAUUGAUUAAAUCGUUAUAAGCUUUUUAAUAGUAAUUAUUAGAAUUGAAUACAAUGUUGUAUGUUUAAAGAGUAUUACUUUCUGACAGGAAAAGUGUUGUUAACAGGCCAUUUAAUAAGCAUGUUUAUUUUUAAUUUCCAUUUAAACUCGGUUGGUAAUUACUAGUGAUUAUGAAAAGGUGUAUUGUAAGAUACAUAGUGUCUUAGUGACCAAAUAUUUGACAUCUAUUUUAAGCAUCAGCCCAAUUUUUAAUUGAAAUUAAAUUGGAACAGUGUAUCCUUGAAUUAUUUUUUUCCCAUAAUUGAUGACUUUCUCCAAUUGAGGUAGUUUUAACAUCAUUCUUCUAUACAAAAUAUACAUGCAAGGAUUAAAGAAAGAAAAAAAAACCCACCAUUUUCCCCAGUGAUGUUAAUUAAUUAUGCAUUUGUCAUUAAGAUAAUUAAAACCUAUGAUUCCAAAUUUUCUAUCUAUUUAUUGUCAGAUUAAAAAAUUCAUUAAUCUAUAAUUGAUGUUUAAUAAAAAAAUAUAUUUGAAAUAUUAAUUUUCACAGUCUUUAAAGUUUAAAAUGUAAAACAAUUUUAGUAUAUCCAUUUUGUAGAUAUAUACAUUCUAAUUUUGUGUCAAUUUCUCUGCAGUUAUGCAUAUGUAUGUUUUAUUAACUUUCAAACUUCAUUCAGUCUUCACGAUGAACUGUUAAAUCUACAGGGCCGGAGCACAUACAAAAAAAUGUAUUAUAGAAAAUUAUUUAAAUAAAAUCCCACAGUACAUAAAUAAGGGUUUUCCACGAAAAAAUAGGCAGGGCUGGAGUGAUGGGAUCUUUAGUUAUAUUUAACUGGGUAGGUUUUUUUUUGUUUAGGGGGAGGGGGCCAUUUUAAUUUUAAGCUAAACUGUCGAAAGAACUAAGAGUGCUUUUCUGAUCAACUAGUGUUUGGUGUCUAUUCAGAAAGUUGAGAUCUAUUUACUGUUCAUUAAAAUGAAAACUUUUAACUGUGAGACGACUUUUUAUGUAUAUGUCAUUAUGAAUUAUUGCCCUUAAAUGCAUGAGGAAUUUUUACCAAUUUUUACGCCUGUUUACGAGACGUACAUGUUUUAUCGUACACCGUUGUCCUUCCUUCAUCAAUAUGUCGAACAUUAACUCCAAAACACUUUAACCAAUUUGCAUGAAACUUUGGUGAAUUGUUUGUAUCUUGACCUGAGCAUUGUUUUUUUUUUUUGUUUUUUUUUAUAGAUUUUAUGAAUCCGAGUUAUGGGGUUUUAUUCAUUAAAAUAAGGGGAUUUUUGUUGAAAUUGGUUGGGAGGGGGGUGGCAUUUUUUCACAUGAUUUCAGAAAAUAAAAUGGAUAAAUUCAAACUAUUAUCAAUUCGAAGUCCUUUGGCUACAGUUAUUCUGUGUCAGAAACCUGUUUUAAUGUCAAAUAUUUAAUUACAAUCCAAAUUCAUCAGACCUGUAUCAAGUAGGAAUAUUGUGACCACUUUUGCCUAAACUGUUCAGUGUUAGACCUCUGCUGUCGUAUCCAGCUGCACUCAGCAAAGCAGUUUAUUACCAAUUUUUAGUGUUUUUGCAAAUUAUCUUGAAAACUAUAAUAGAUACACAUGAGAUAGAUAAACACUUUUAAUAGCUAAUAUUACCAGCAAGGACAGAUCUAGAUAUAAGUCAAACAGCAGAAAUUUUUAAUUGACUCCUUAUUGGAGUUCUUGCUCUUUAGUUUUACCAUUUUUUGGGGCAUAAUGCCUUUUAUCUUGACAGCUGUAAAAGAUAACCAAUUAUAUGAAGAGCAAAAAUGAUUUUUUUUUUUCAUUUUGCUUAUUAUCUCAGUGUAAACUGAAAAACAUAACUAGAAAUUCUAGCAAAAAUAAUUACGAACAUAACCUCGGAAGACUAAUUAUUACAAUUUGUUCUCAACAAGUUAUGCAGGGGAGACAAUUCAGUGUGUGCACUAUUUUAUUUCCCUUUAGUGUGAAUAGAAAAUAAAUGAAUACUGAAGAUGCUUAGUUUAUAUGGAAUUUAUAUCCAAUUUUCAAAGAUAUUAAAUCCUAAAGAAAAACAUAUUAUACCUUUGGGAAUUUCUUAAAUUUCAAAUUAAUUUGUUUCCCAAUGAAUUCCAUAACAAUGCUACAUUAUGUAUAAUUACAGUGGUAAAACAUGGAAUAAUUUAACAGAUUUUUUUCUUCUUAUAUAACUAACCUGUUUCCAAGAGACCUUCAAAACAUAAACAUUGUGGGAUGAAACAGACAUAUUUUUACAACUUAAAUACUAAUUGUAAUUAAUUAAAUAUCGGAAACAAUCCUUUAUAAGAAGGCACUGCAUGUUCUUAUUGAUUGUCACUCCAUGUUGCUAUAUAAUCAAGAACAUUUUAUGGCAGAGUUUGUCAAAUUGUAAUAAUUAUAAUGAUAAACAGCGUAUUACUUUGCUAUUUCAUUAAUUGUUCAUUAUUUAAAUGCAAACACAGAUAACAUGUUACUAGUGUUUAAUUAAAUGAAGAAAAUUUACGAUAAUUGAUGUCAAUACAUCAUUAUAUCAAUAUAAAUGAGUAACGGUAGUCAGGUUAAACAGUUACAUAUUUGUAUGUCAAUACCAACAUCAAUUUAAAGUUUUUAUACAAACAUGUAUACUAUUCAGAAUAUGUUUAAUUCUCAAGUGGCUAAUAUGUUUAGAUAUUUGACUCCAAAUUAUUAUAAAAUUCAUUUAUGUUGGAUCAUUCCAUUUCUUAUACAAUUGUCAGCUGGGAUGGAUAUAUUCUGAAUGAAUAAUAAGUCAGGGUUAGGAGGAGAAUAGUUCCUAAUUGAAUUGUAGCUCAGUGACUGACUGCUUGUAAUAAAGUUUUAUUACAUAUAUACAUGUAUGUUAUAGUCAUGGGGAUAUCUUUAAUCUUGAGAUCUUUCAUAUUCAGAGUUUAUUUGCUGAGAUUAGUAAAAAAAAUAUCAUAUAUAUGUAUAUAAUAGGGUAGUAUAGCUCCAAACUGUUUCAGUGUGUUAUUAAAAACCUUACAAAUCAAUCACUUUCAAAUUUAGACAUAUUGAUUCUAAUGAGUAAAGGUUUGAUUUGAGACAUUUUACACUUUUGUCUUGAGGCGUUUUGUUGCAUUCAAAAUGGGUGGAAAAAUGUUGUUUCGGUUUUAAAUUUUAACUGAUUGUUUUAUGGGCCAUUGGUGGCCAAGUGUCUAAGUAUGUUAUCAACUAUAUCAUCAGCCUUUCAACACUGACAUUACAAGUUUAACAUACUUUUGACUUGGAUUGCCAAUUUUCCUGCUGAUGGUUGAGUUUUCUCCUGGCACUAGAGUUUUCUCAACCAACCAAAACUGGCAUCUGUGUAAAAGCCAAUAGUACCUUAAGUGGCAUUCAACACCAAAUAUAAAUCUAUAAAUAAAUAAUAAAAUGCAAAAAAAUAAUACAAAUAACAUACAACCAGGUUUUCCUCACACUUAUUAAGGUAAAUGCUAAAGAAAUCAAGGGUCCAUACUGAGGAAAGCAAAAGUGGAAAAAGCCGCCGCCUUGUUAAAUCAAAUCAAAAAUGUACUAGCAACAUCAUAAGUCAUAAUGCAGUUUCUUUGUUUCUAUACAUGCAAGUGUUAAACAUUUAUCCUAAACCUGUUUGACUUUGUUUUGUUUAACUCACUUUGGAAACAAAUGAUUUCAAUAGAAAUAAAGAUGUCUUUUUACAGGUUAUUGUCUCCAUAUUAUCUAGGUUUGUGCAGCCGGCUAAAAUUAUUAUGCAACUUGAAUAUCUAUAAUGAAUUAAAGCUGUUAUUUCCAUCAGCAAUUGUUGUUUAACUGUUGUCAGUGUUGAUUUUAUACUAUCAUUUGCAAAUAACCUGUAGACAAAUUAUAUUUGCUGGAUCUCAAUGCAGACAUAAACUUGUGUGGAUUGAUAGUCUUGACUCUCUGAUUCUAUCUGUCUUACUUUUUUGAAAGGAUAUAUAAAGUUCAUCAUUUGAUGGUUAAUUAAAAAAACAAAGUUAUAUUGAAUCAUACUAGUUAUUUCUUGUGAUAUUCCAAUCAGCAUUAAACAAUGUUUAUGCAGUAAGAUCAUAACAACAAUGAAGAUAAUUGAAUUUUAUGAUUUUUGUCAAUAAAGUAUAGAUUAUAAAUGAAUAUUCUAUUACAGGAAAUUGAAAAACAUUUACUUUCCCAAGAUGUGCUUUAUGAUAUUAAGGUCUUAUAGAAAUGUUUUUUUAUUGAAAAUCACAUAUUUCAAUUUACGGAUUUAAGUCUCAUAUAAAUGAUUGAUGGAUCAACUGUGAAUAAAAUGUCAAAUACAAGUUUUGCUACCGGUUUAUAUUCUGCUUACCAUGCCUAAAUACCAAGUCUUUUAUUUUGUCACGGCUUUUUGUAAAUUUAAAAUCUGACUUUGUAAUGUUCAAAAAACGAAAACAAACCCUAAACAAUAGUACCACUAUAAUUAGUCUAAUCAUCAGCAAAAUGAGAAGCGUGUUUCCUAUUAAAGGAAAUUGAUAAAAAAGUAUAGGUGUUAUUUAGUUUACCUUUAAUUAAAGAUCAAUGUGUCUAUGGUCUUCAUCAUUGAAUGUAAUUAGUCUUUACUUUGAUCAAUAUACCAUCACCUGUUUUUGUAUUAAUGUGAAGUUUUAUGGCAAUUUCCUAUUUUUCCUAUAUUUUUCAGAUGAUUAAAGAGGAUUUAUACAGAUAACUUCCUGCCAUGGUAUUUUUAUUACUGGUAUGUACUAGUUCUGUAUUAGGAUUGUUACCGAAAGUACAGUUAACUUUUCACCCAGAAAUUGUUCUACUUUGCAUUUAAAGUUAAUUUAAUUUUAACUUAAGGGGGCCUUGGUCAGGCUGAAUGGUUUAAGAAGUUACUACUGUUAUCACUAACUGUUAGCAUUUGAUUUUAUACCGACUAAUGGAAUAGGUUGUUAAUAUUGAAGAUGUAAGCCACUAGUCUAAAUACCACAUGUUAAAAUAGUCGAAAAGAUAAAUUUGUUACACAGUGUGCUAUUGAUCUAAUAUGAUAUAUAUGGGGUCAGUUAAUUUCAUAUUAGGUUUUUAUAUGGAAUUAAAUGACCCCAUAUAUAUUGGAUUAGGUCACUAGCACACUAUAACUAAUAGUAUGUUAUAUUUAUUUAUGUUUACAGUUUAGUAGUCCUAUGCUCUAUGAGAUUUAUUUUGGUUUCAGUUUUUAGCUUGUUUAAUGACAAAGCAAUGUUAUACCAGAGCAUUUGAGUCUUAAUGUCAAAGCUAAUGGGUCAAAGUUUCAAAUAGCUGGGUUAAACAUCUUUUUUAUUUAUAUUUUCAAAGGUCAUGUCAAUGUAAUUUGACCCUAUUGAGGUGACAUCUAUUGAUUUUUACAAAUUACUAAAUUAGAUGAGCCAAAAAAACUACUUUCUGCUAGGAACUAUUACCUAAAACAAAUAAAAUUUUCUAAAAAAAAGCCUUUUAAAGGCAAUCACUUUCAAGAAAACUUAGAGUUACUUAAUUAUAUGGGCUUCUCAAAUUGCUGAUAAUUUCGAAUUCUAAUGGCUUCUAAGAUAUAAGCAAAAUCAGUGAAAUCAAGCCAUUUCAGUGCUAUAAGUACUACCCCUAUGAAGCUUUGUUAAACAAUUUUGUCAAAUAAAGAGUUUGAUAAAUCUAGAGCUGAAUGUUCAGUGGCAAAUAUAACAUGCACGAGUAUUCAGUAUUGGUAACAGUCUACAAGGCCGUAACUAGGCAUAUUAUUUUAGUGAGGCACAUUUUUUUCGGAGGGUAUGAAAUGAAUGGUGCAAAAUCCUGCAUUCUAGGCAUUUCCAGAGAGUUUGACAAUGUUUUAAAUUUGGACAUUUUUUAUAUAAAUUCUUCAUAUUUAAAGACUUUUAUUAACACAAAAUUUUUAACAACUUUAUUUAAAUUUAUAUGUAAGAUAAUCAUUCAAAUGUUGCCAGAACAUAAAACAAACAUUGAUGCAGUAGAGUUUGUCAAAUUUUUCUAAGGCCGGUUUCGUCAGAUAGUUUCAGUAUAUUUGGUCGGCUGACAUCCUUAUCGCAAUGAACAUGGAGCAUGAUCAGACCGCACAAUCUCUCCCAACUCAUGCAUGCUCUUUUCCAAGUUUUCAGUCGUUUCAGGGCAGUCUGUUUCUAGCGGUAGCACACUAUCAUUAACACAAUAAUCGUUGUCUUCUUCCGAUUCCUUCUCCAUCAGCAAUUUGGUAGCAGCAUCGACAGUAACAGUUUUGUUUGCAAAAGGGAAUUAAGAUUUCCUGUAAGCAUUAUCAUACAGUCGCAGUUACAAAAUAUUAAAGUCGCUUUUAUGCUGACAAAGAGUAAACAAACUAGGGAUCGAAUAAGAUAAGAUACAUUGAAUAUGAUUCUAUCUGGAGUUUUCGCCGUUUACAUGUAGGUCCGUAAUUUCAAAUUAUUUCUGGAAAUAGUCGAUGGUAUUUUAGUUCCAGAAUCUAUAAAUUUUUGGGGUUUGGGGUUGGGGGUUUAUGAUUCCGAAACCCUGAAUAUAAAGACACAAAAUUCCAUAGUCCUGAAUAAGUAAAGAUAAAAUCCCAUUUUAAAGGUUCUACCGUUCAUCAAUACUGAUGUCAAAUUGGAAUAUGGGAUACUCUUUCUAUUUUUAAGGUUAAUUAAAGAAACAUGGAUAAAAACUAAUCCAUGCAUGUUUCAUAUUAUUUAUAUUUUAUUUAUCUGUAAAGAGAAAGAUUAAAGUUGUGGAAACAGAGAAAUGAAUACCAGACAGGACUGCCCCCUUGCUAUGCCAAGUACUUGAUUUGUCAGUCUACUUAUCGUUUUUGGAUUAGUUCUAAUGAAGUUAUAUUUAAUACUCAGCCUGUGUUCACAAAAAAAAAUAGUUUAUUCCUUCUUUAACUUUACGGGAGUGCUUUCCAUUUUUUAUGCAAGAGCCUGUUUUUAACCAGAGAUCCAUGAUGAUUAUCGUUACUUAAGGUUAAUGUAAUCGAGAAACAUCACCCUUUGAGAUGCUGAGACAGAAUUAUAUCCAGGAAGAAUAAUUUAAAAGGAAUGAUAACAAGUAAUAGAAAUUAAGGUUGAGACAGAACAACAUAGUUAUUAUAUUUAUAUACCGUACAUAAAAAAAAUUCAGUGUUGGAAUUUUAGUGAGGCAAUUGCCUCACUUGCCUCAAUGGUAGUUACGGACUUGGUCUAGGAAGACAUGUCACUCUACCCAUUCCCAGACACAUUAUUCUGACUCUGAGCUGGACAAUACAUUCUCUUACAUCUAAAUGCGGAGUGAUUAGCAGAGAUACAGCAAAUACCAAUUGUCAAGUCUUUGUCUUCAAUCCUGCCAUGGAUGGAACCUAUAUGACAAGACCACUUAAGUAACUAGGUUCAAGUCUUUAAGAAGUCUUCAAAAUUAUUAUAUAUACCAAUAAUAAGGUGACCAUCAACAAAGUAUAAAUAUAAAUAUAUGGACAAACAUUAAAGAAAGUUUGAAGGCAGUGAUUGAAAAUGGGGAAUGUGUCAAAGAGACAACAACCCGACCAAAGAGCAGAAAACACUAACUUAAGGAGGAAUAGAUUACAUAGAGGAUAGGUAAAAUACAGACAAAAAAAUACUAUUGCUCAUAAAAGAUAAUCAUUUAUCAGGUAAAAGACACAGGAAGAUAAAUAAUUUCUAAGCCAUACAAAAAAGAAGAUGUGGUAUGAUUGCCAAUGAGACAAUUCUCCACAAGAGACCAAAUGACACAGGAAUUAACAACUAUAGAGGACUGUACAGCCUUCAACUAUAGCAAAUCCAAUACGGCAUAAGCAUAGGCACCUUCUAUUCAAUAAUUUAAUGUGCAUGCCCUUGAUUUACACAAUGGUUUUGAGUUGAUGAUUUGAAAUAUAUCCCACAUGUAAGUCACCUUAUGAUUUCAUUAAUGUAUCUGUUGACCAACCGUAUAUUUCUAAUCGGACACACCAGAAUGUUGUGUGUCAAGUAAUUCAUAUUGUAAUACUUUUAUUAGUUUGAUACCAUAUGUAGGAAAUUAGGAUUAUAUGGACUAUUAUAGAAUAUUAUUAAUGUAUUUUCUUCUGUAGUGAAAGUGUUCAGAUUUAUAAAGUAGGAAACUAUUGACUUGGGUUAAUAUCAUUUAACAAAAAAUAUUUGAUUUCUUUCAUUUGAAAUUUGAAGGUUUUCAUGUAAAAAUUGAUUUUUGAAAGUAUUGUAAGUUGUUUUCAAUGGGGUUGCAUUAUGCACAAAUAAGUUUUAUGAAAUGAUUUCAAUAGAAGGAGAACAGAUAGAAGAAGUAUGAACCAGAGUAGUUCAGGUGAAAUAUAUAAUAUUGACACAAUUCAAUUGCAAACAACUAUUAUUGAUCAAAUAAUCUGAAAAUCUAAUUUCGUAAUAGUUUAUAAAAAAAAAGCAAUAAAAAAAAAUUGUGUUUGUUUGGAUGUUAAUUGGUUUGUCAUAGGAACUGUAAGUAUUACGGUUGAUACUAGUUAUUGUUUCAUUUCACCUUACUCCUUCAUAUGUCAAGCACGGCAAUAAUCCCUACAGAAUUAACUCAUUUAAUUGUGCUACUUUCCAUGAAAAUGAUUGUUAUGUGAUGUGUUUCAGGAUCUGAUAGAAGAAAUGGAUUCCAUUAAAUAGCUGAUACGGAUAAUUUGUUCCAAUAAUAAGACUUGUGGGAAAUUCUCUGGAUAACUAAACUUUUAAAGGGUAAGA